UACGUAGGGGGCAAGCGUUGUCCGGAUUUAUUGGGCGUAAAGAGCGUGUAGGCGGCCAUACAGGUCAGCUGUGAAAACUCGAGGCUCAACCUCGAGACGUCGGUUGAAACCGUAUGGCUAGAGUCCGGAAGAGGAGAGUGGAAUUCCCGGUGUAGCGGUGAAAUGCGCAGAUAUCGGGAAGAACACCCAUGGCGAAGGCAGCUCUCUGGCCUAUAACUGACGCUGAGGUGCGAAAGCGUGGGGAGCAAACGGG
rnacentral:rRNA from 1 species